rnacentral:tRNA from 1 species
CGAGAGGGUCAUAUGACCUGCUAACUCUUCAACCUG